UAAUACAGAGGGUGCAAGCGUUAAUCGGAAUUACUGGGCGUAAAGCGCGCGUAGGCCGUCGAGUAAGUCGGAUGUGAAAUCCCCGGGCUUAACCUGGGAAUUGCAUUCGAUACUGCUUGGCUAGAGUGUGGAAGAGGGAAGCGGAAUUUCCGGUGUAGCGGUGAAAUGCGUAGAUAUCGGAAGGAACACCAGUGGCGAAGGCGGCUUCCUGGUCCAACACUGACGCUGAGGCGCGAAAGCGUGGGGAGCGAACAGGAUUAGAUACCCUGGUAGUCCACGCUGUAAACGAUGAGAACUAGAUGUUGGGGGGUAUAACCCCUCAGUGUCGCAGCUAACGCGUUAAGUUCUCCGCCUGGGGAGUACGGCCGCAAGGUUGAAACUCAAAUGAAUUGACGG
rnacentral:rRNA from 1 species